rnacentral:lncRNA from 1 species
GAAAAUGAGGUGGAUUGCUGCUGUUUUAGAGGGGUAAUAAUGAGGCAACUGCCCAGACUGAAAAGAAAUGUUUGGGAAGAGAUGAAGACAAGCUUAUGAAGACCAAAUUUACUGAGCUCUUAAAAUAUGAUCAUGUUGGAGUGAAUUUCAAAAGUUAUGAUUAUUAAAACUACUUACUACUUCUCUUCAUUUUUAUCCUGCCAAAUCCUACCAGUUAAAGAGCACACAAUU